rnacentral:rRNA from 3 species
GGACUACCAGGGUUUCUAAUCCCGUUUGCUCCCCUAGCUUUCGCGCCUCAGCGUCAGAAGAGAUCCAGCACGUCGCUUUCGCCACCGGCGUUCCUUCCGAUAUCAACGCAUUUCACCGCUCCACCGGAAGUUCCACAUGCCCCUACCUCCCUCAAGACAGCCAGUAUCAAAAGCUAUUUUCCGGUUGAGCCGAAAGAUUUCACCCCUGACUUGGCCGCCCGCCUACGCGCCCUUUAAGCCCAGUGAUUCCGAACAACGUUUGCACGGUUUGUCUUACCGCGGCGGCUGGCAC